rnacentral:rRNA from 1 species
CCUACGGGCGGCAGCAGUGGGGAAUAUUGCACAAUGGGGGAAACCCUGAUGCAGCAACGCCGCGUGAGUGAGGAAGUAUUUCGGUAUGUAAAGCUCUAUCAGCAGGGAAUAGAAAAGAAGGUACCUGAAAAAGAAGCCCCGGCUAACUACGUGCCAGCAGCCGUGGUAAUACGUAGGGGGCAAGCGUUAUCCGGAUUUACUGGGGUGAAAGGGAGCGUAGACGGAAAGGUAAGUCAGAAGUUAAAAUCCAAGGGUCAAACAUGGGACUGCUUUUGAAACUGUCAAACUAGAGUACGAGAGAGGUAAGAGGAAUUCCAUGGGAAGCGGUGAAAUGCGUAGAUAUUAGGAAGAACACCAGUGGCGAAGGCGUCUUACUGGACCGAAACUGACGUUGAGGGUCGAAAGCGUGGGGAGCAAACAGGAUUAGAUACCCGAGUAGUC